GGGGAUGAUUUUUUGGAUUCGAUAGGGGUUAUUUUCAAGAUUUGCGGAUCAAGGCGCUCGGAACCUUGUAAAAAACCGGCAAAAACAAUAAGUGCAAACUUAUAUUCAAAAGCAAAGAACGCUUUGGCAAACGCCUUUAGCGUUCCGCAACUUUUACCAGUUUACGCCUAAGCGCGUAAGCCAUCCGAGCUGUUGAUUCUCGAUGGGCGGAAUUCGGGUGUCAUAUUAUCGAGAUGGGCAUUUGAAAACNNCCGGAGCCAAUUGCCGAGAUUAAAAUCCGGAAACGGUUGAAAAGAUUUUGUUCAAUUUAAACUUUUCAAUUGAAACACCAAUUGAACUACGUCCGUAGAUAAAUUUUGAAACAAAUUCCUAGACGCGGGUUCAAUUCCCGCCAUCUCCACUG
rnacentral:tmRNA from 1 species